rnacentral:lncRNA from 1 species
AAUAAGGGGAAGAGAAGGAGAAUAUUUUAAAAACUUUUUUUAGAACUAGCGCCUUGAGGAGACAGUUGGUGAGAAAAGGCUGGGAGACCAGAUAUAAAGGUUGUUAAAGAAAUGCUCUGUGAAAUGGUUACUAGAGAUCCUUGAAAAAGCCGUU